GCCCAGGCUGGAGUGCAGUGGCAUGAUUUUGGCUCAAUGCAAGCUCCGCCUCCUGGGUUCAAAUGAUUCUCCUGCCUUAGCCUCCCAAGUAGCUGGGACUACAGGGGCGUGCCACCAGGCCUUGCUAAUUUUUUGUAUUUUUAGUACAGACGGGGUUUCACUGUGUUAGCCAGGAUGGUCUCGAUCUCCUGACCUUGUGAUCCACCUGCCUUGGCCUCCCAGAGUGCUGGGAUUACAGGCGUAAGCCACCGUGCCUGGCCGAUGCCACCUCUUCUUGAAAGCCUUCUCAAUUCCUCAAAAUACCUAAACCAAGGAUCCCUUUGUGUUCCUCUAUUUCUAGCCUCGUCCUUGUUUCCUUGGACUGUCAUUGUUUAUGGGGAUACCUCCUCCACUCACCUGAAUCCUGCAAGCAUAGUGAGUGGCUGAAUCCAAGCAACCUUUGGUCACCUUUGUGUUCUGGGCCUUUAGAGUGCCUGAUGCAUGGAGAACAGCCAUUUAUUCCUUUUUCUUUUCCUUAGGAGUUACCUUUCAUGGAAGGGUAAGCAGGAAGCAACUACAAGAUCAUCAUUUCAAAACAAUAUGAAAGCAGAAUGGGAAAUGCCAUGGCAUGCUCCCUCUUUUCAGGCAAUAUGGACACUUUGGGGAAGUUAUGAAGCGUCUCCCAUUCCCGCUUGAGGUACUCAAUAGAGCCCACAAACACAAUGUGCUUGAGCUCAUGGUAAUGAAAGUUGCUGGCACGGAGCGGCAUCACCAGGUUCCGGAGGCCGAUCAGGGCUGAGCUGACGUCGCCAAAGAUGCAGACCACGACAUGGCCACUCAGGACGGUCAUGGCAGCUUCACUUCGAGUCUACAACAGGGAGAAGUGGGU
rnacentral:lncRNA from 1 species